UCCAAGUUACCUUGCGGAGUUUGACCUCCGUUGGGUUUCCCCAAGCAGUCUAUCUAGAGUUCUCAACUUAAUGUUAGUAACUAAAUACAAGGGUUGCGUUCGUUAUAGGACUUAACCAUACACCUCACGGCACGAACUGACGAUGACCAUGCACCACCUGUGUGAUUCAACUAGAUUUCUCUAGUUUAAGUAAUAGCAUUGCUGCUAUUACCUCCCAUGUCAAGCCUUGGUAAGGUUCUUCGCUUCGUAUUGAAUUAAACCACAUGCUCCACCACUUGUGCGGGUUCCCGUCAAUUCCUUUGAAUUUCAACCUUGCGGCCGUACUACUCAGGCGGAACAUUUAAUGUGUUAACUGUGAUACUAGACUUAAUAUCUAAUAUCUAAUGCUCAUCGUUUAGGG
rnacentral:misc_RNA from 1 species